rnacentral:rRNA from 1 species
UACGGGGGGGGGGCAAGCGUUGUUCGGAAUUACUGGGCGUAAAGGGCUCGUAGGCGGCCAACUAAGUCGGAUGUGAAAUCCCCAGGCUUAACCUGGGAACUGCAUCCGAUACUGGAUGGCUUGAAUCCGGGAGAGGGAUGCAGAAUUCCAGGUGUAGCGGUGAAAUGCGUAGAUAUCUGGAGGAAUACCGGUGGCGAAGGCGGCAUCCUGGACCGGCAUUGACGCUGAUGAGCGAAAGCUAGGGGAGCAAACGGGG